AGUGAACGCUGGCGGUAGGCCUAACACAUGCAAGUCGAACGGCAGCGCAGUAAGAGCUUGCUCUUACGGGUGACGAGUGGCGGACGGGUGAGGAAUACAUCGGAAUCUACUUUUUCGUGGGGGAUAACGUAGGGAAACUUACGCUAAUACCGCAUACGACCUACGGGUGAAAGCAGGGGAUCUUCGGACCUUGCGCGAUUGAAUGAGCCGAUGUCGGAUUAGCUAGUUGGCGGGGUAAAGGCCCACCAAGGCGACGAUCCGUAGCUGGUCUGAGAGGAUGAUCAGCCACACUGGAACUGAGACACGGUCCAGACUCCUACGGGAGGCAGCAGUGGGGAAUAUUGGACAAAGGGCGCAAGCCUGAUCCAGCCAUACCGCGUGGGUGAAGAAGGCCUUCGGGUUGUAAAGCCCUUUUGUUGGGAAAGAAAAGCAGCAGGUUAAUACCCCGCUGUUCUGACGGUACCCAAAGAAUAAGCACCGGCUAACUUCGUG
rnacentral:rRNA from 1 species